rnacentral:rRNA from 1 species
AGAGUUUGAUCCUGGCUCAGGACGAACGCUGGCGGCGUGCCUAACACAUGCAAGUCGAGCGGUAAGGCCCUUCGGGGUACACGAGCGGCGAACGGGUGAGUAACACGUGGGUAACCUGCCCUGCACUCUGGGAUAACCCCGGGAAACCGGGGCUAAUACCGGAUAGGACUUCCUGCCGCAUGGUGGGGGGUGGAAAGCUCCGGCGGUGCGGGAUGGGCCCGCGGCCUAUCAGCUAGUUGGUGGGGUGAUGGCCUACCAAGGCGACGACGGGUAGCCGGCCUGAGAGGGCGACCGGCCACACUGGGACUGAGACACGGCCCAGACUCCUACGGGAGGCAGCAGUGGGGAAUCUUGCGCAAUGGGCGAAAGCCUGACGCAGCGACGCCGCGUGAGGGAUGCAAGGCCUUCGGG